CAGAAAAUAAUUUAAAUAUAAAAUAUAAACUUUGGGAGUUUAAAAUGAUCAUNNUAUCUUUUCUGA
rnacentral:tRNA from 3 species